GAUGAACGUUGGCGGCGUGCCUAAUACAUGCAAGUCGAACGGAGACGGUAGCAAUACGGUCUCAGUGGCGAACGGGUGAGUAACGCGUUGGUGACCUGCCCCGAAGUGUGGAAUAACAGAUCGAAAGAGCUGCUAAUACCGCAUAAUAUCCAGAAGAUUAGAGGCGGUUGGGCAAAGGUGCAAAUCGCUGGGGAGGGGCCUGCGUCCCAUCAGCUAGUUGGUUGGGUAACGGCCAACCAAGGCGAUGACGGGUAGGGGACCUGAGAGGGUGGCCCCCCACAAUGGAACUGAAACACGGUCCAUACACCUACGGGUGGCAGCAGUAGGGGAUCUUGCUUAAUGGGCGCAAGCCUGAAGCAGCAACGCCGCGUGUGCGAUGACGGCCUUCGGGUUGUAAAGCACUUUUGGUCGGGAAGAGGAAGGACGGUACCGGCCGAAUAAGCCUCGGCUAACUACGUG
rnacentral:rRNA from 1 species